rnacentral:rRNA from 1 species
AUUGAACGCUGGCGGCAUGCCUUACACAUGCGAGUCGAACGGCAGCACGGGAGCAAUCCUGGUGGCGAGUGGCGAACGGGUGAGUAAUACAUCGGAACGUGCCCAAUCGUGGGGGAUAACGCAGCGAAAGCUGUGCUAAUACCGCAUACGAUCUACGGAUGAAAGCAGGGGACCGCAAGGCCUUGCGCGAAUGGAGCGGCCGAUGGCAGAUUAGGUAGUUGGUGGGGUAAAGGCUCACCAAGCCAACGAUCUGUAGCUGGUCUGAGAGGACGACCAGCCACACUGGGACUGAGACACGGCCCAGACUCCUACGGGAGGCAGCAGUGGGGAAUUUUGGACAAUGGGCGCAAGCCUGAUCCAGCCAUGCCGCGUGCAGGAUGAAGGCCUUCGGGUUGUAAACUGCUUUUGUACGGAACGAAACGGCCUUUUCUAAUAAAGAGGGCUAAUGACGGUACCGUAAGAAUAAGCACCGGCUAACUACGUG